CUACGGGCCGCAGCAGUGGGGAAUAUUGGACAAUGGGCGCAAGCCUGAUCCAGCAAUGCCGCGUGAGUGAAGACGGCCUUAGGGUUGUAAAACUCUUUCGCUAGGGAAGAUAAUGACUGUACCUAGUAAAGAAGUCCCGGCUAACUCCGUGCCAGCAGCCGCGGUAAUACGGAGGGGACUAGCGUUGUUCGGAAUUACUGGGCGUAAAGAGUUCGUAGGCGGACUGACAAGUUAGAGGUGAAAUCCCAGGGCUCAACCCUGGAACUGCCUUUAAAACUGUCAGUCUAGAGACCGGAAGAGGUUAGGGGAAUACCUAGUGUAGAGGUGAAAUUCGUAGAUAUUAGGUGGAACACCAGUGGCGAAGGCGCCUAACUGGUCCGGUACUGACGCUGAGGGACGAAAGCGUGGGGAGCAAACAGGAUUAGAUACCCGGGUAGUC
rnacentral:rRNA from 1 species